GAGAAUGGAUGCUUGUUGAUAAAUAUCUUGGUAUUAGAUUGGUCAAUCGAUUUAACGUCAACGAGGUCUAUAAGUGUUUCAUCCACUGGGGAACAGGAACAGUUAAUCUAGAGCUGUGGUCCGAAGACAGGCCUGUAUCAAGGCAAUCUCCUCUCAGAAUUUCCCACCAAUAUGAAGUUAGAGGAACCUCUUAGUUGCUUGUAUUAUCAAUUGUACUUGUAAAAAUUCUGCCAUGUAAGCUGUAUGCUAUAAUGCUCUGCAAUUUGGAAUUCUAUUGGUAAAUAUGCUUGUGGAACUUUUGGAGAUUACUCAAAGAGAUUGUAUUAUGCCAUCAUGUAAUAUAAAAUUAUUUAGUCCUGGUUUAAAUCUGCUCCAAUUAAUUUCUAGUUAAAC
rnacentral:misc_RNA from 1 species